UUCUUAGCUUCUUUGGAGCCGAGAAAAACCUGCCUGCGGUCUCGGAGACCUGGGCCAGCUCAUUCAGGAGGGUCUUUCAGGAGGGUCUUUCAGGAAGCCUGGCAGGGAGACGCUCCUCCCCACCCCACGCCUGCCCCUCACCUGUGCUCGGAAGGCGCCUCGUUGCUGGGGCAGGGGCCCCUGGGCUCCCCGUCGUUUCCCUGGAGAGGGUGUGUCCGGGCACCCCUGCAGUGGUGGUCCCCUUGGCCAGGUCCUCCCCUGAGGUGGGGUCCCACGUCCAGGGGGGAUAGAUCAUUCCUCUGGGUUUGCGGCACCUGGGAAGGAAAGGGGGGAGGGGCGAGCCCCGACCCGUCUCAGGAGUCCUUACCACUGCGGCUCUGGAGGCCCCUGCCAGGACCUCCAGGUGCGACUCCUGCCGCGCCCCUCCACCCCGUGCCCCGCCCCCGCUCCACGCUCCACUCCCCCUUACCAGUGCAGGUGAGCCCCACGUCCUCCUCGUGGUCGCAGUUGUGCUGUCCCCACGCCCGGGCCGGGCAGUCGCGCAGCGAGGACUCCCCUCCGAGCGCGCCACCAUGCCGUCCCGCAGGUCCCAGCCGUCAUCACAGACCGUCCCCCAGCGUCCAGCGUGCCACACUUCCAGCCGCCCGGCACACCGGUUGGGCCCGUCCGCCAGACGAACCCGGAACGGGCCUGCUGGUGGAAAGCCAGGAUCAGGAGGGGUCAGAGGGGGUCUGGAGGGGCCAGCCUCAGCCUUCCUGUUCCUCUGCUCACCUGCUGCGCUGGUGGGGGAGGGGGCCGGGGGGCCCCCCCGCAGCGUGUCAGGCGCUGGGGACCCCGGGGGCUCCUCCUCACCGUGCUGUGUCCGUCUGUUUCCCUGCCUGGAUGCCGCAGCACGCCCGGCGCCCCGCCUCCGCGCCGGGCAGCCCCCGGCUCGGCCUGGGCUGCAACCACUGACCCAGUUGCCGUGGCCUCCAGGGAGAGCCCGGAAGGAGCCAUCAGGGGCGGGGUCAGAAGGAGACGUCGGAGGAGGAGGACUCACUUAGGAAGGAGCCAUGAGCCAAGCACUCCGGGCGACCUCAAGACGCCGGGCAAGGCAGGAGCAGACCCUCCAGAAGCAAUGCCCUGACCUCAGCUCAGGGGACCCAGCGCGAUCCUGACCCAGAACUGCAGGGGAAGCCAGUGCAUGGUGUGAAGCCGCCAGCUUUGUGGCCACGUGUUGGGGCGUCCACGGGGCUCAUGUACUCAAACGCGGAGAGGCCCCUCCCACACCAGCAAGGCCCCAGGGCCAGCCCCCCAGCCCCUCAGUGAAAUGCCUGGGGGGAAACCAGGCCGGUCCCAUCUGGCUGGCAUCCCCUCAGGUUAUCCCCCCCAUAACCUGAGCAGCCAGGCCCAGCCUGCAGGCGGUCCCCGCCUCUCUCCCCUGCUCACUCGGAAGCUGAGGUGGGAAAGUCUGGGUUUGGGAGUCAGCCCGCCCCCUACAUGCCAGCCCCCUGCAGCUGUUAGGCCCUGGGCAGAGCAGGCCUCCCUGAGCCCUGGAGCAGAGGGGCAGGAAGGCUUGGGGAAGAGGUGUGGUGGGGGCUGGGCAGAUGUGGGGUGUCUGCCCCACAGCUGGAGGUGCUCAGCACACUCCCGGGGGCACUGCCCACUCCUUCUGGGCACUGGGCACCCAAGCCUCCCUGCACCCCCUCCCCUAGGCUGCAAUUACGGGUCCUUCAGGCUAAUCGCCGAGGUUGACUCACUCCUGGCUCCGCUUCCCUAAUGAGGCCUUUGUCCCCUUAAUUGGCCAUCUCCAGGCGCUUUUCUCUGACCCCCCCACCUUCGAUGCCUGUCCCAGAUCCCAGGCCCAACUAUGUGCUAAUUGGGCCUUUGGGGGGGACACACAGAACGACCCCUCCCCUCCCUGUCCCCUGGCCGGCCUAUAUCAGACCCCCACCUAUGGGCUCCUCACACCUCAGGGCUGGGGUGAGGGCACAGGACGGUUCCGAUUCCCCGGGCCCUGCUCCGCCAACCGAGGUCCCCCCUCCCUGUAGGUCCCCCAUCCCCGUCUCUCUUCCCGCGCCUGUCCCCCGCCCUGGGCCCCCCCCCCCCCCCCCCACCCCCCCCCCGCCGCCCCCGGAGCCAAGCCCUGCAGGAGGCGC
rnacentral:lncRNA from 1 species